rnacentral:rRNA from 1 species
GAUGAACGCAAGCUACAGGCUUAACACAUGCAAGUCGCGGGGCAGCAUGGGGGUUGCUUGCAAUCCCCGAUGGCGACCGGCGCACGGGUGAGUAACGCGUAUCCAACCUGCCCUUCACCACGGGAUAACCCGGCGAAAGUCGGACUAAUACCGUAUGUUGUCCAUUGACGGCAUCCGAUUUGGACGAAAGGUUUGGCGGUGAAGGAUGGGGAUGCGUCCGAUUAGCUGGACGGCGGGGUGACGGCCCACCGUGGCGACGAUCGGUAGGGGUUCUGAGAGGAAGGUCCCCCACACUGGAACUGAGACACGGUCCAGACUCCUACGGGAGGCAGCAGUGAGGAAUAUUGGUCAAUGGGCGUAAGCCUGAACCAGCCAAGUAGCGUGCAGGAGGACGGCCCUAUGGGUUGUAAACUGCUUUUAUGCGGGGAUAAAGUGGCCCACGUGUGGGUUUUUGCAGGUACCGCAUGAAUAAGGACCGGCUAAUUCCGUG